rnacentral:rRNA from 1 species
UACGUAGGGGGCAAGCGUUGUCCGGAUUUAUUGGGUUUAAAGGGUGCGUAGGCGGCCCUGUAAGUCAGUGCUGAAAUAUCCCAGCUUAACUGGGAGGGUGGCAUUGAUACUGCGGGGCUAGAGUACAGAUGAGGUAGGCGGAAUUGACGGUGUAGCGGUGAAAUGCUUAGAUAUCGUCAAGAACACCUAUAGCGAAGGCAGCUUACUAGGCUGUAACUGACGCUGAGGCACGAAAGUGUGGGGAUCAAACAGG